GCCACGAAGCAGAACGUGUGAACUUUGCUGUGCCACCGGCCAGCCCGAUAUUUUUUCUUUAUGUAAUCAGAUUGCCCAUUCUUUUCCUUCAUAGUUUCUGAGUUUUGAAUCAUGUUCAUAAAGGCCUUUCCUACUCCAAGAUAAUAAAAGAAAUCUUUGAUCUAUUUAGGGGUGAGGAAAGAGGCAGGGAAUUCUGCUUUUCUUUUUUCCAGAUGGCAGUCACCCCAACACCAUUUCCCAGGAUUCUUUUAAGCAGAAAGAGCCAUUCAAGAACCACUCAAGGGCUCUGCUUAGAGGAAGAACAUGUAUUGAUCUAAAUGCUUGAUGUGUUCUGAAUGUCGUUUUAUUUGAUCCUCACAAGAACAAUGUGAGGCAUUGAUAUCCUUGUUUCUCAAAUGAGAACCUUCAGAGAGACUGAGUAAAUUGCCCAGAGUCACACAGCCAGGAAGUGGCAGAGCUGGGAUUUGAAUACAGGUCUGUCUGACUACAACGUCUGUGCUCAUUCCACUUGCUAGAAUUACGAUUCAGAAAGGGAAACAUCUAUACAGGCUUUUACUGAAGUAUUGAAGGACAGCUUCUCAGUCUUAUCCUCUCCAUUCCUUCCCUCCAAAGGCCUCCUACACUGUGUGGCCAGAGCUUCCCAUGGCCGGCAGACGGAGGUGCCUGUCCCAGCAAAGCUGCCCACUCGUCAGGAGCACCGAUGUUAAGGGGCGUCAGAGUGGGUGACAUGAGCUACUUGGUGCUAACUACUCCCUGGCCUUCUUCUUGAGCAACCACUUGAAUGUCUUUUGGCCUCGAAUUCCUUAAAUUUUAAAACUGAUUCCUCUCACUCCCUAAGCACUGCCAGUAUGCUGCAAGGAUAGAAGUCCAUUUGUGCCUUCCCGGUUCUGCUACCUUAUUUUUUCUCUACAACUCAGCUGGGGUGUCAUCUUUUCCAGGAGAACAUCUCAGAUUCCCCUCACUCUCCAAGCCAGGACUGGUUGAAUCUCCCAUCUCUGUGCUUUCAACUCUCUGAACAUACUUUUAACAUAGCCUCACCCUCCCUUCCCCUCUGGCCCUCUCAGCAGAUGGUAAACGCCUUGAGACAGGGAUGGUUCUCUACCCGACUCUGCAUGUCCAGCUCAUCCCAGUGCCUCCCAGAAAGCAAAUGUGUCCAGCUGAACUCAACCUUCUUAGCCAAAGUGGAAUAUUUUUCUACAGGUGGUGUUAGAAAAGUAAGCAUCAAAUUAUAUGAAAUUGGAUCUUUGGACUUUGACACUGUAUGGACCUGACCCUUCAGAAGAGGAAACUGAGGCCCUGAAGGUGAAAUGGCUUGUCCAGAGCAGAGCCAGGUGUCAGCAGCCGGACCGAGACAUGAGCACCUUUACUGGUGGAGCAAAGCUCGUCAGUGAUGGCAGAAACCUUCCCUGGGCUGAGGUUUGUCCCAUAAAAUGGCCCCAAACAUGCUCAUCAGCCGGGGUGGUCUUUGGCCCCCAAAAUGUAAAAACUCUCUGGCCUCUGAAUUUUCUGUCUUUUUUCAUUUCUACUACAUAUUCUUCUUUCUUAAAAUUUACCUUUUAUUAAUUUUGAUUAUAAAAGUAUAAAAAUCUUAUUAUAGAGAUUCUGGAAUAUGCUGAAAAGUAAAAGAAAGAGAAAAUUGAAAACUAUUUGAAUUUCAUCAGCCAGAGACAGCCUGUAUUAUUAUGGUUUAUCGCCAACAAAUGAAUGCAUGUGACUGAGAUCAACCUGUAUGUUGAAUUUUAUGUUUUUUCCUUUUUGGAUUAUUGUUGGAUUGUGAGCAUUUCUCUAAGUUCUUAAAAAUGGGGUGUUUUCUCUGCAGCCUUUGUGCCAUGAAGCUUUUCAAUCAACACACUUUGUUCUGCAUUAAUUUAUAAAUAAAAAGGA